GUUGCUCUGAGGGGCGUAACAAAGAUGGUGGAGCAGGCGGAGGGCAGAGGCGUCGGCAAGUUAGCGUGCAGGCGCGUGGCAGCGACAGGAGAUGUGUAGCCAGAGCGCAGAGCAGGUGUGGACUCCGGCGCUGGGGAAGCGUGGCCAGGGCGAGAUUUCAGCCUGGGUCGGGGACAGAAUGGGGACUGAUAGGGGCGUAACCUGGAAUGACGAAAUGACGUUUGCUGCGUAGGGACGUGGCUAAACGUGAGGGGGCGUGGCCAAGAUGGCCGCGUGCGGGAUCCUCGGGUACCGGGAGCGAACGAGGAGGUUCUGGCUCAGUGCAUCCACUCUGGGAGAGCGUGGACCUGGUUCCUGGGGGCGAUCGCCAGUCACCCAUCAACAUUCGGUGGAGGGACAGUGUUUAUGAUCCCGGCUUAAAACCACUGACCAUCUCUUAUGACCCAGCCACCUGCCUCCACGUCUGGAAUAAUGGGUACUCUUUCCUCGUGGAAUUUGAAGAUUCUACAGAUAAAUCAGCUGCACUUAGUGCAUUGGAACGCAGUCAAAUUUGAAAACUUUGAGGAUGCAGCACUGGAAGAAAAUGGUUUGGCUGUGAUAGGAGUAUUUUUAAAGGAAAAUUCUCAGUCUCCCUUGAAGAAGUGAAGCCUCCUUCUUUAUGCACUGGCCACUGUCUAAUACCUCCCAGCAAUACUCAGAGGAGACUACCUGCUGGAACCUCACUAGAAUUGAGAGAUCAAAUGGUUUUGGCUGUUUUCCCACUGGAGAAUAUAAAAAAUACACAGUUAAUUUUAGAAACAAAGGCUGGGCAUGAUUCCAUCCUAAGCAGCAAUUCUUCAGGUAGCUGCCCAGAAGGGCCUGGAGCUCCUCUGGACCACUGCUGAUCUCCAGAUACUCCCUGAGAACCGUCACCUCGGCGUCCAAUUCCUGAGUGGUUUUCACUACUAAAUAAUGACUCAGUGACCCAGUCUCUUGGCCAGGACGCUGUUAUGGAAUUUGGGUCGUUUGGCACUUCCUGCCUGGUGCCCACCUGUCUAGAUUACUGGACCCAAGUAGGUCCAGUAUCUCCCUGGUCCAGCCCUGUCUUGAGUCCAUCACCUUUAUCAUUAAGAAGCAGCCAGUAGAGGUUGAUGAUGAUCAGGUACGUUCUCUCCACAAUUUUCAUCUAAGGAAAUCCUCGUCUCCCCUUUUAAAACAAGGCUGGGCUCAGACUGUGGCAUCAGUUUUAACAUCUUGUAAUGCUUAUACAUUUUUAUUGAAGUGUACCAACGUCUUAUCUCAGUUUGGACAUGAAUUUAGAGAUAUUUCAAAUUAGCUAGAGAGAAGAGUUAAAACAUAGAAGAACAUAAGCUUUUUACAUCUAUAUUUGACAGUGACAUAUGUUUUUAUUAUACAUGCAUUGUGUAGAUUCUCUAUGAAAAUUAAGACCCUUUUAAAUAAAAAAACGAAGGCUGGAAA